UAUUUUAAGUUUUUUUUUAUAUGAUCACCGCCAUGAGGUUACUGUUUACUCCAUCAAUUGGUUUCGUCUGCAGUGCAAACCAAAAGUUCGACAUUAUCAUAGACUGUGUGCUGAGUACUCAGUUUACAUGUUAAAGUUUAAACCAUUCAACUCUUUAGUAACUAAUAUUAGUGAGAUGUGAAUUGUAAAGAUUGACGUCGACGUAAUCAGUGAAAUCAUUGAGCCCUAAAAAGAUCGUGAAUGGCCGAACCUGGCACCUCUGCGUGAGGGAUGAAAUUUAUUACCUCUGACAUUGAAGACCAAACGAACGUCAUCAAAAACUCGGAUCUCUCGAUGUGCUUCGGUGAAGAGCAGCUGAAGGUGUUACGGUAUGAACUGAAGCUGUCUCGUUCGUGCACAGCAAAGUCUCAUCACGGCCAUCCGCCAGCGCCUGAGGAAAAUGAAACCUGAAACGAAAUUAAACCUACCAGUUCACUGAUCACAUCCCAUCUCCAAAAGGAAGAACUGCAUUGCCACAAGGUUAACGUUCUACGAUAGCCUUGCAAACAACGUAAAACCCCAAACAAAAUUAUCGACGUCAUGAAAAUAUUUUAGUAGUACGAAUCAACAACCGACUCAAGUUAAGUUGCGGAACUGUACAUUGAAAAACACAUAAUAAGGACAAGUUAAUCCAAAUUGGGGCAGCUGAUUGGUGACGUCCGAGGCAGAUCCGGUUACGGAAUUAUUAUGCAGACUGCUGCAUUCUCUACAUGGCCACCUCCUAAUGCCGACGGGCCAGCUGGUUCCAAGUGAAGAAUAAAUAAGUCUCUGUCUGACUUUAUUUUGUUGUGUUGGAAAACGGCUCAAAUAUUCCGAUCAAAGAUUGGGAAACCGCCAAACCGGGAACAAAUUUACACUGGAUUUAUGCAAUUGCUUCGGUGUUGGAAGUGUUUAGAGCAGCGUGGACACGAUGUAUCGCCGACAAGUAAAUCACGACCAAGAUCACAUAUCCGCUAAACGAUUUGGCCCAGUGGUGGCUGAAUUUUUGUUCAGACGGACGAGUUGCAGUUAAGUGAUCGAACAAUACGCAUUAUAAGGUAAUUAAGGUAAGAAAUUUUCCUUUAGUCCUUUUCUGUCCGAUUUUGUGGUAAACCAAAGUGGCGCUGUUUCCUGUCACUUCCGAGAACGAAGCCUUGGUAUGAACGGCUCGAGAAACGAGAGAGUACGCAGUUGAGAAGACCAACUUAAAAAUCCUGAAGGGUGAUGGCUGAAACUGUAGAAUAAAUUAUAUUGAUCACAUCCUACUUCAAUCACAGCCCCAAUCGUUUAAGACACCUUAGGAUUCCGAUAAACUCGGAUAAAUUCGCACUGAUUCAUCUGGAUGGAGCCAACUCAGCCGCAGUCUUUUAAGGAUUCCGAUAAAUUCCCACCGAAUCAUCUGGAUGUCCUAUCCAGGUCACACAUGGGGCCCUAUUUAAGCAAAGGAUGUCACAAUGGACACGGUACAUCGUCCAUAACCCAAAAAGAAUUGGAUUAACAAAAAGGUGCACAGCAUACAAACGCAUUUGAUUUGUUAUGUAAAGAAGUCAAUGUACUACCGACAAUCUUAAAGUCUUGAAGGUUUAAAAACCUGAUUGCAAACUGCAUGAACGCACACAAGUUGAGGCGGAGGCCACAGCUAUAAAGACGCGCAGUAACAUGUCGAAUAGCAGCUCAAAGAAGAGUCAGAAGAACCAUCUACUUCCGAUACAUCAGCAACCAACGGCGCAAGACUGAUGCCACAAGCAGGAUUGAUCCCAUACGCCGAAAGAAGAU